rnacentral:lncRNA from 1 species
UCAACAUGGGCACAUGAUUCCCAACUAGAAAACAUAAAUUUUUCAAGAGAUUUGUCGCGACACCUAUAUGUGAAGACUAUCAUACUAAAUAACCUGCUCAAAUGCAUAUUACUAUUUAAACCAGCAAACAAAACUUGCAUAUUUCAUAUUCAAAUAAAAGGGUGCUCAAUGUUCUAACCACAGAAUAAAAAAAGGAAAACAUAGACAGAAAAAUGAAAAAUCACAUAGCAAAUGACCUAAGGUUGUCAAUGAAGGCAUGAAUAUUCAUCAAGAGAUAUUACCAUUGUUCAAAAGAAUGAAAAGAGGUUCAACCAUGCAAAGAAACAUUUCAGGCAUUUUGUCAAACACUCUACAUGUAAUCUAUAGAUAAACUAAAGCAAGGAAACUUACAUAUCAUCUAUUAAUCUCAAACCUCUUUGAAUUCAAGCAGUAAAAAAG